GUGUAGCACUUACAAAUGCACUGUGUUGUUUUUAUUCUCAUUUUAUUCUCAUAUUGCAGAACAGGUGCAUUCAGCACUUAGUAGGAAACAGAUGAUAGCAAAAGUUCAGUGAUUAAUUUUUUUUUUUUUUCUCAGAGUGUUUCUGGACUCAGCUUAUAUUCUUUGAGCAUAUUGGCCUCCACUAGACAACUUAGAGUGAUAUUAAUGUGGUGUAUUUUAGUUCUAUUUCUGCUGUGCUCUAAAGCAGCUACAUUCUGGUUUUAGAAUCUGGGCUUAUUGAAUGGAUGUUAGCUUCUGGAUUUUGUAGACUAAAGUGACACAGUAAUGUGAUACUGGAAU